GUCCAUGCCGUAAACGUUGGGCACUAGGUGUGGGGAACAUUCCACGUUUUCCGCGCCGUAGCUAACGCAUUAAGUGCCCCGCCUGGGGAGUACGGCCGCAAGGCUAAAACUCAAAGGAAUUGACGGGGGCCCGCACAAGCGGCGGAGCAUGCGGAUUAAUUCGAUGCAACGCGAAGAACCUUACCAAGGCUUGACAUGUUCCAGACCGCCUCAGAGAUGGGGUUUCCCUUCGGGGCUGGUUCACAGGUGGUGCAUGGUUGUCGU
rnacentral:rRNA from 1 species